CAAUUAUAUUUAUUUUUUCUUUUUCCCUUUCUUUCCUUUUUUCUUCUUUUUUUUCCCUCCUGAAGUGUCUCUUCUAUGCAGAACCUCAAACAGGGCAGUUGGCAGUGUUGCAUCUACA
rnacentral:ribozyme from 12 species